rnacentral:rRNA from 1 species
UACAGAGGUCUCAAGCGUUGUUCGGAUUCAUUGGGCGUAAAGGGUGCGUAGGCGGCGCGGUAAGUCGGGUGUGAAAUUUCGAGGCUUAACUUCGAAACUGCAUUCGAUACUGCCGUGCUUGAGGACUGGAGAGGAGACUGGAAUUUACGGUGUAGCGGUGAAAUGCGUAGAUAUCUGGAGGAAUACCGGUGGCGAAGGCGGCAUCCUGGACCGGCAUUGACGCUGAGGAGCGGAAAGCUAGGGGAGCAAACGGGGAU